rnacentral:tRNA from 1 species
UGAGGUGUGGCUCAGUGGUAGAGCACUUGCCUAGCAUGUGGGAGGCCCUGGGUUCCAUCCCUAGUACUGAAA